rnacentral:misc_RNA from 1 species
GUCCAUAAUGGACGACUGUUGUUGCGUUUGCUGCUGUCCCCUCUGUGUCAUGUGCCAGCUGUCACGUGAACACGACUACACACUUGCUAACCCACAGACCUAUUGAGAACGGACAUGUUAUGGAUUGCUUCAUUCCCUUUAUGCGUAGUUGUGUGUGCAUUAACUACCAUUGUAACCACACCUUGAACUCUCAAUCCCUAUAAAGUGACAUAGAUUACGCUAUUCAAACUUACGAUGGUUAAAUACAUGUACAUAAAUCGUAAAAAAUUCUCUUUAAAAAAAAAAGAAUCAUUAUCCUGAUUAUCAAAGGGCCGGCCAUUUAAACGUUUUGAGUUAUUUAAUAAGCAACCUUUAACUGGUAUAAAUAAUGAAAAUAUACUAGCAGCAACGAAAAUGAUAAAAAAUUAAAAUUCCCUGGCCCACUAUUAUCUAGCAUCCAAUUAAUAUGCAUGUAGCUUUGAAACAUGAAAAGAGUUGGCAGAGGCUAUCUGAUUUCAACUUUGAAACAAUACACUUUCUAUACUUGAUUUUUUAACGUGAACACCGUCACCCUGAAUCAUUCUUGGACGUUUCCUGUUAUUGACGCCAUGCAAGCAGUUUGGAUAUGAUUUGUGUAGAACUUCACCUUUACUUUUUGUAGUUUUGUUGAAAUGAUACUGGUGUUGAAAAAAUAUCAAAGUUCAUUUCAUUUUCUAUUGCUUUACUGAACUUUUUUCCAUGUGUUAUAGUUUGUUAAUAAAUAAAGAAUUUUACGUCAAUGUU